rnacentral:rRNA from 1 species
CAGAAUAGGAAAAUCCCCUAAACCAUGUGUUGAAACGUUACCUAUACCGCCUGCUUCGGGCGGGCGGCCCCGGGGCUUUACCUUACCGGGCGCCCCUGGGCCCCACCGCGGGCGCCCGCCGGAGGUCACCAAACUCUUGAUAAUUUAUGGCCUCUCUGAGUCUUCUGUACUGAAUAAGUCAAAACUUUCAACAACGGAUCUCUUGGUUCUGGCAUCGAUGAAGAACGCAGCGAAAUGCGAUAAGUAAUGUGAAUUGCAGAAUUCAGUGAAUCAUCGAAUCUUUGAACGCACAUUGCGCCCGCCAGCAUUCUGGCGGGCAUGCCUGUUCGAGCGUCAUUUCAACCAUCAAGCCCCCGGGCUUGUGUUGGGGACCUGCGGCUGCCGCAGGCCCUGAAAAGCAGUGGCGGGCUCGCUGUCGCACCGAGCGUAGUAGCAUACAUCUCGCUCUGGUCGCGCCGCGGGUUCCGGCCGUUAAACCACCUUUUAACCCAAGGUUGACCUCGGAUCAGGUAGGAAGACCCGCUGAACUUAAGCAUAUCAAUAAGCGGAGGAA